rnacentral:lncRNA from 1 species
AGAGCGCGUGUGGCGGCCGAGCACAUGGGCCCGCGGGCCGGGCGGGCUCGGGGCGGCCGGGACGAGGAGGGGCGACGACGAGCUGCGAGCAAAGAUGUGCCCCGGGACCCCCGGCACCUUCCAGUGGAUUUCCUUGCGGAAAGGAUGUUGGCGGUCCCUGUGACCUGUGGAGACACGGCCAGAUCUGCCCUCCAAAUCCUGUUACACCUGGGAUUUAGGCACUUUCAAUCUGAAAAAAUACAUAUCCUUUCAGCACUCUGGACGGACUUGAGAACUGUCCUUACGUGACCUAAAGCUGGAGUAUUUUGAGAUUGGAGAAUUAAGAGCCAGUCUUGGUGCUCUGUGUUCACCUGGUUCAUCUGAGGAGCUGCAUCUACCCUGCCCAUGCCAUAGAUCCUGCCCUGUUUGCUUCUCCUGUUGCUGCUAGUGGACAUGAGAAGGACAGAAUAACGGGCUCCCAGAUUCACAAGCCCCACCAAGAGGAUCACCCCAGGAACGCUUGGAGGCUGAGGAGUUCACUGAGGCUACUGCAUCUUGAGACUCAGGAUGAAGACCCAGCUUGGGGCUGUCAAAGGUUUUUUGCAUGUCUGACACCCAUGACUCCACCUGGACCUUAUGGCUCCACCCAGAAGCAAUUCAGCCCAACAGGAGGACAGCUUCAACCCAUUACGAUUUCAUCUCUGCCCCAACCACUCAGCAGCAAGCACCUGUUACCUGUCCACCCCCACCCCUUCCCCCAAACUGCCUUUGAAAAAUCCCUAACCUAUGAGCUUUGAAUAAGAUGAGUACGAACUUCAUCGCCCACGUGGCGUGGCCGGCCUCGUGUCUAUUAAAUUCUUUUUCUACUACAA